GUAAAAGUAACGUCAAUUGACAUAGCAUUAUGAUGCACUUCUGUCUUGAUCAGCGGAUCACUCACCUCAAUACGACAGCACUCAUCGUCUGUUGUAAACAACAAAUCGAGAAAUCUGUUGUUUUGAUUCGGGAUACCGCAAAUUUGGAAAAAGCCACAAGCAGCCAUCGAAUCAACGAACAGUUCUUCUUCUGGCUGACGUACUUGAUAAGGUGACGAUGAAUCUACAAUAUUGCGGAUGCUUUCUACGUAUGAUGCAUAGCGACCAAAAUGCGAAUCAGGAGGACGAUUCGAAAAUAACGUUACUAUGAAACUUCUGAUUAACAGCAAUCAGUACACCACCGCCGCUGGUUUUAUCAGAAUUCGAUGAGGAUCUAUCGCAACGAAAGCAUAAACAUCGAAAUCACGCUCCAGUGCGGACAUGAAGACAGCUUCGAGCCGGCUACUGCUUCGGAUACUAUUCAUAUUCUGAUGAAUCACGCAAGCAACAGUUAUACACUUCUGGACAAGUGGAAUCAUUAAGUAACGGUGAAAAACGAGGCGAAGCAGAAUAUCGGGGAUUACUCGUUUGGCUGGCUUGGCGGGGGAAUAGGAAAUAAUUUCGGCUGAAUCCCGCGAGUGAAUUCAAACUCACGGAAAUAAAUACCCUUCU